CCCCUCUCAGGAUCGCACCUGGAGAGUUUCCAUUACUCUACCAGUCUUGUCUACAGGAGGUAGACUCAAGCAGCGGUAUACGUAUUCCAUUCCUAGCUUGGGAAGUGGCUAGUGAGUGGAAGGCAAUCCGCUACAAGU